rnacentral:rRNA from 1 species
UACGUAGGGGGCAAGCGUUGUCCGGAUUUAUUGGGCGUAAAGAGCGUGUAGGCGGCCAAACAGGUCAGCUGUGAAAACUCGAGGCUCAACCUCGAGACGUCGGUUGAAACCGUUUGGCUAGAGUCCGGAAGAGGAGAGUGGAAUUCCCGGUGUAGCGGUGAAAUGCGCAGAUAUCGGGAAGAACACCCGUGGCGAAGGCGGCACUCUGGGACGGUACUGACGCUGAGACGCGAAAGCGUGGGGAGCGAACAGG